GGCGGCGGCGGCUUAUACAUGCAAGUCGAGCGGACAGAUGGGAGCUUGCUCCCUGAUGUUAGCGGCGGACGGGUGAGUAACACGUGGGUAACCUGCCUGUAAGACUGGGAUAACUCCGGGAAACCGGGGCUAAUACCGGAUGGUUGUUUGAACCGCAUGGUUCAAACAUAAAAGGUGGCUUCGGCUACCACUUACAGAUGGACCCGCGGCGCAUUAGCUAGUUGGUGAGGUAACGGCUCACCAAGGCAACGAUGCGUAGCCGACCUGAGAGGGUGAUCGGCCACACUGGGACUGAGACACGGCCCAGACUCCUACGGGAGGCAGCAGUAGGGAAUCUUCCGCAAUGGACGAAAGUCUGACGGAGCAACGCCGCGUGAGUGAUGAAGGUUUUCGGAUCGUAAAGCUCUGUUGUUAGGGAAGAACAAGUACCGUUCGAAUAGGGCGGUACCUUGACGGUACCUAACCAGAAAGCCACGGCUAACUACGUGCCAGCAGCCGCGGUAAUACGUAGGUGGCAAGCGUUGUCCGGAAUUAUUGGGCGUAAAGGGCUCGCAGGCGGUUUCUUAAGUCUGAUGUGAAAGCCCCCGGCUCAACCGGGGAGGGUCAUUGGAAACUGGGGAACUUGAGUGCAGAAGAGGAGAGUGGAAUUCCACGUGUAGCGGUGAAAUGCGUAGAGAUGUGGAGGAACACCAGUGGCGAAGGCGACUCUCUGGUCUGUAACUGACGCUGAGGAGCGAAAAGCUGUUUCGCCC
rnacentral:rRNA from 1 species